rnacentral:lncRNA from 1 species
GUAGCAAGCCACUCUACUAUUGGUACAGAGGCCAGAUAGAAGGUUGCUCAUCCAGCCCAGCGGAUCCAUUGUUUAUGCGGCAGUGCAAUGCAGCUGAAAAAGGGAAGCCCCUUUUUAUUAGUAAGGUAUAGGUUGGUUGGGGAAAACUCCAAAACUAGGGUUCCAAAAAGCUUACCUUAUAUUAUAGAAAAGUUUGAGAAAGGGGCACCCCUACUAUACCCCUAAACUACAAGCUAGCGCGCAACGGCUGAAAAGCCGUUGUUGCUUGCUGCUUGCAGGCUCGAAAAUCUCUCUUUCGCCUCUCCUCCCUGUCUCAAUUCUGAUUGAUUAGCUUCUUCCUUCGCGCAAAGAUCCAUUGUUUAUGCGGCAGCUGCAAUGCAGCUGCAAGAGGGAAGCCCCUUUUUAGUAGUAAGGUAUAUGUUGGUUGGGGAAAACUCCAAAACUAGGGUUCUAGAAAGCUUACCUUAUAUUAUAGAAAAGUUUGAGAAAGGGGCACCCCUACUAUACCCCUAAACUACAAGCUAGCGCGCAACGGCUGAAAAGCCGUUGUUGCUUGCUGCUUGCAGGCUCGAAAAUCUCUCUUUCGCCUCUCCUCCCUGUCUCAAUUCUGAUUGAUUAGCUUCUUCCCCAACACCUUUUUUCGAGUUCCCCAAUCUUCUUUCUUCCGCUUAC